rnacentral:lncRNA from 10 species
AGUGUUCUCGGUUAAUCCAGUCCAAAUUAUUAAGCCUUCAUAAUCCUCCAAGACACGUAAUCAGAUAAGACUGCAACUGAUUUGAAGAAAUCCUUAAUUGCAGAAAUCAUCAAGCCUUGCUCUUCUGCUGGGCGAGAUGAAAGCGUUCAUCUUCUCCGGAGAACACACGAAGUCCUCACCUUGCAAGCAGAGACCAGGCCCUCCCCAGACACUGAGCUUGGUGGCACUUGGAUUUUGGACUUCCAGCCUCCAAAAUUGUGAGAGAAAGUGCUGAAUAUCACAGAACACAAAGAAAAGAGAAAGAGAAACUGACAGAGCCUAUAAAUGUUGCACGAAGGUUCAGAUACAUACAGUUCUGCUGGCUUUUUAAGGAGCAGUGUUUCCUAUAUCCUAAGGCAGAUGGACAUGUUGGGAUGGAGGGACAUGGAUGGAGCUGGAAGCCAUUAUCCUCGGAAAAUUAACACAGGAACAGAAAACCAAACACUGCAUGUUUGUGGGAGCUGAACAAUGAGAACACAUGGACCCAGGGAGGGGAACAACACACACUGGAGCCUGUUGGCGGUAGUGGGGGUAUGAGGGAAGGAAGAGCAUCAGAAAAAAAUAACUAAUGUAUACUGGGCUUAAUACCUAGGUGAUUGGUUGAUAGGUGCAGCAAACCACCAUGGCACACAUUUACCUAUGUAACAAGCCUGUUGCACAUGUAUCCCGGAAUGUAAAAUAAAAUAAAAUAAAA